rnacentral:rRNA from 1 species
AACGAACGCUGGCGGCAGGCCUAACACAUGCAAGUCGAGCGGGCAUCCUUCGGGAUGUUAGCGGCGGACGGGUGAGUAACGCGUGGGAACGUACCCUUUGCUACGGAAUAGCCUCGGGAAACUGAGAGUAAUACCGUAUGUGCCCUUCGGCGCUUUGGGAAUGGCCUGCGUAAGAUUAGCUAGUUGGUGAGGUAAUAGCUCACCAAGGCGACGAUCUUUAGCUGGUCUGAGAGGAUGACCAGCCAGACUGGGACUGAGACACGGCCCAGACUCCUACGGGAGGCAGCAGUAGGGAAUUUUCCACAAUGGGCGAAAGCCUGAUGGAGCAACGCCGCGUGCAGGAUGAAGGCCUUAGGGUUGUAAACUGCUUUUAUAUGUGACGAAUUUGACGGUAGCAUAUGAAUAAGGAUCUGCUAACUCCGUG